GGUGGCUCAGUGGUAGGGUGCUUGCCUUGCAUGCAUGAAGCCCUGGGUUCAAUUCCUCAGUACCA
rnacentral:tRNA from 1 species